rnacentral:lncRNA from 7 species
GGGCUGCAAUGGAAGCCUCUGGGAUGAGCUGCACCCUGGUUGCAGGGUGGGAAAAGCAGAGGCUCUUUGCUCCUGCAGACCUUUAGGCCUCAGCAAUGCGCUGCGGGGAGAAGCAGGCACUGCUGCAGCACCCGGUGGGAGAGCUGCUGGUGUAGCAACCGAGGAAACACCUCUGGCUCCAGCUGCCCUCCCCCUCCUCCAAGUCCUCCUCCCCAUUCCCGGACCAUCUUUUAUUCAUGGCCGAGCGGCGCACACGCCGCUGCUUGCCGCCUUCUUGGGAUGCUGGCAUUAAUAUUUCAUCCUGGAGCCAGCUCGUGCUGAAGAGCUCAUGUCCCAGGAAACCCUUUUUUGGGGCCAGCUGCAAUGUUUACUCUCAAGGGUUCCUUGGGAAGAUAACAGUGGAAAAGCCACGCUCUGACAUGGUGGGUCUGGAAUGAAAAGUGAAGGUGUUCCUCUGCAAGCAUCAAAGCAGUUUCAACUUAACCAAAAAUGCUUCUCCUGGAUCACUGGGUCUUUAAAUCGAAAUACCUUCUCAAUAGAUGUAAUAAUGCUGG